AGUGAACGCUGGCGGUAGGCCUAACACAUGCAAGUCGAACGGCAGCACAGUAAGAGCUUGCUCUUACGGGUGGCGAGUGGCGGACGGGUGAGGAAUACAUCGGAAUCUACUUUUUCGUGGGGGAUAACGUAGGGAAACUUACGCUAAUACCGCAUACGACCUACGGGUGAAAGCAGGGGAUCUUCGGACCUUGCGCGAUUGAAUGAGCCGAUGUCGGAUUAGCUAGUUGGCGGGGUAAAGGCCCACCAAGGCGACGAUCCGUAGCUGGUCUGAGAGGAUGAUCAGCCACACUGGAACUGGGACACGGUCCAGACUCCUACGGGAGGCAGCAGUGGGGAAUAGUGGACAAUGGGCGCAAGCCUGAUCCAGCCAUACCGCGUGGGUGAAGAAGGCCUUCGGGUUGUAAAGCCCUUUUGUUGGGAAAGAAAAGCAGCAGGUUAAUACCCCGCUGUUCUGACGGUACCCAAAGAAUAAGCACCGGCUAACUUCG
rnacentral:rRNA from 1 species